rnacentral:rRNA from 1 species
UACGAAGGGGGGCGAGCGUUGUUCGGAUUUACUGGGCGUAAAGGGCGCGUAGGCGGCCCUCCUUGUCGCGUGUGAAAGCCCCGGGCUCAACCUGGGAAUUGCGCGCGAAACGGGAGGGCUCGAGUUCGGGAGAGGAGCGUGGAAUUCCCAGUGUAGAGGUGAAAUUCGUAGAUAUUGGGAAGAACACCGGUGGCGAAGGCGACCAUCUGGACGGAUACUGACGCUGAGACGCGAAAGCGUGGGGAGCAAACAGG